rfam:Capsicum annuum cultivar Zunla-1 chromosome 10, whole genome shotgun sequence
UGGUGAUGGUGAGGACAAUAAUAGAGCACAAACUUAAAUCUUUCUCAAGCUUGGUACAACUUCUCUCUAUCCUUUUGUCAAAAACUCAAAAUUUGACUUCCCAACUG